GAUGCUGAAGCUCUAAUACUUUGGCUACCUGAUGCAAAGAGCCAACUCAUUAGAAAAGAUUUUGAUGCUGGGAAAGAUUGAAGGCAAAAGGAGAAAGGGGAGGCAGAGGAUGAGAUGAUUAGAUAGCAUCACUGACUCAAUGGACAUCAAUUUGAGCAAACUUCAGGAGAUAGUGAAGGACAGGGAAGCCUGUGUGCCGCAUUUCAUAGGAUCACAAAAGUUGGAGACAACUUAGCGACUGAACAACAACAAAAUUAUAUUAUCUAGGUAAUCUUAAUUCAUAUGUUCUUGCUUUUACACCUAAGGAAUUCUGCAGAUCAAAAGAGAAAGGGAUGCUGCAUCUGAGAACAGACACUUCUAAGACAUCUCGCAAGGCCUUCAUGGGAGGAAGAAUACUCCCCAGCCCUUUGAUGUUGGAUCUGGCCAUCUGACAGGUUUUGGUCAAUGAGAUGUUUAUAGACAUGAUAUGAGAAGACGCUUCAAUAGGCACGCACAGUU